GUGGGGAAUAUUGGACAAUGGGGGCAACCCUGAUCCAGCAAUGCCGCGUGUGUGAAGAAGGCCUGCGGGUUGUAAAGCACUUUCAGUAGAGAAGAAAAGCCUAAGGUUAAUAACCUUGAGUCUUGACGUAACCUACAGAAGAAGCACCGGCUAACUCCGUGCCAGCAGCCGCGGUAAUACGGAGGGUGCAAGCGUUAAUCGGAAUUACUGGGCGUAAAGCGCACGUAGGUGGUUUUGUAAGUCGGAUGUGAAAGCCCUGGGCUCAACCUGGGAAUUGCAUUCGAUACUGCUUAACUAGAGUAUGGUAGAGGGAAGUGGAAUUUCCGGUGUAGCGGUGAAAUGCGUAGAUAUCGGAAGGAACACCAGUGGCGAAGGCGACUUCCUGGGCCAAUACUGACACUGAGGUGCGAAAGCGUGGGUAGCAAACAGGAUUAGAAACCCCUGUAGUCC
rnacentral:rRNA from 1 species